CAGUAGUCACGAGUUUGAUCCUGGCUCAGAUUGAACGCUGGCGGCAUGCCUAACACAUGCAAGUCGAACGAGACCUUCGGGUCUAGUGGCGCACGGGUGCGUAACGCGUGGGAACCUGCCUUUAGGUUCGGAAUAACUCAGAGAAAUUUGAGCUAAUACCGGAUAAUGUCUUCGGACCAAAGAUUUAUCGCCUUUAGAUGGGCCCGCGUUGGAUUAGCUAGUUGGUGGGGUAAAGGCCUACCAAGGCGACGAUCCAUAGCUGGUCUGAGAGGAUGAUCAGCCACACUGGGACUGAGACACGGCCCAGACUCCUACGGGAGGCAGCAGUGGGGAAUAUUGGACAAUGGGCGAAAGCCUGAUCCAGCAAUGCCGCGUGAGUGAUGAAGGCCUUAGGGUUGUAAAGCUCUUUUACCCGAGAUGAUAAUGACAGUAUCGGGAGAAUAAGCUCCGGCUAACUCCGUG
rnacentral:rRNA from 1 species